CUUCGCCAAGCUGCCUUGUAAGAAACCUGGUGGUUUUCAGGCUGCUCAGAAACAAACAAGCCGUUCGUUUCCGAUAUGAAUCCGAGCUCUUGUUGCCAGUGGUCGCUAUGAGCGGGCCAGCCUAUCCUAUGUCCACUCACUUCGCUAACGUGGUCAGUAUGAACCGGACAUCUAUCUGAUCGUCGGAAUAUCACGCAGUAUGGAGCUGUUGCUGGGGAGUAUCCAGGUGACGCUGAGGCACAACCUCGGCAUCCUCCUGUUGUGUGACGUCCUCAUCAUCUUCCUCAACCUCAUGGUCAUCGUGCUCAUCUUCAUGUCGGAGAGGCUUAGGAACUCCACCAAGCACAUGCUGGUUGUCAAUCUGGCCUUUGCGGACCUUCUAAUAGGGGUCAUAGUGAUACCACUAUAUGCAGACUAUGGGGAGAAGGGGGAGUGGCAGUUCCCAUGUACCCUGAGGAAUGCCCUGACUGUGCUACAGAUGAACAUCCUUCCGUCUGUAACCACGUUAUGUGUGUUUGUCAUCAAUAUGGACUAUGUGUUCGCGAUGGGGUGCUAUUUUUACACAAACGGUAAGACAAAGUACGUGAUGUCUGGUUCAAUGGGUCUGUUGCCCUGGGUGAUAUCAGGAGCGCUUCUGGUACCUCUAUACUUCAUAGCAACAGAGCCAGGCCGACCAUAUGACGUCCUACCCUGCGUCAGAAGGUACAAGGAAGACGUCACGGCGCUGCUACUCAUAGCGUUCUCGUUCUUUCCCCAGAGUUUUAUCAUCAUGGUGACUGGAAUUGCUGCUGUCAUUGGAUACCUCAUCAAACGACGUUCCACGGGUCUGGACAUGUUUGGCGAGAGAAUACACUCUCCAGUGGACAUCAGUUUGGUCAGUUUUAUCACCAUCCUGUUCUAUACUCCCUACUUCUGUCUGGCUGUUCCCGUUAACAGAAUAAGCUGCAGCUCGUCAUCAGAAUGCGAAGUCCUUCGUACCAUUGGUAUCAUAGCUAGCUGGUUGUUUGUCAUCAAAUCAUUUGUCGUGCCAUUGUGUUGGUUCUGUUCUAGAGACUUUAGGACCGCGUUUAGGAAUAUUUGCUGUUGGUGUUGCUGCUAAUGACCUCAUCUUUGUCGACUGACACCUGUAACGGGGACUAUGGCUGACCCUUUCAGACGGAUCGGUACCAUCACAUGACUGUGAACGUCAAGCUGAUACUGGCCAAUAAUAUACCGAUGUUGUGGCUUAACAGUGUGGGCCAGUGUUGUAUCGUCUGCUGACACUAUUGGCGUUCGGAAGUUGCUUUAUUGAACUGAAAUUCGACCAACGUUUGACAAACGCACUGCAGCAAGAUCGACAUUUGUUUUUUCUUCAUCUUAAAGAACUUAUGUAACCGAAGUCAGCUUAUGGAUUAAGUGUAAAGAACAGAAACACGCACCUGACCUAGUCUGCAGGAUGCAGUGACUGUACUGCUCGCCCACUCGUGGAUAGGAGGAACUGGUGGAACUUGAUAAGGUUUACACAGACAAAUAUGGCAUAGUGACAACGCAGCCAAACCGGACCUUGUUUGUUUUAUUAGACGCGGAAAAGAAUUAAUCAUUGUAUGGAACGUCCGUUUCCUUAUGCAAGAUGUUUGUGUUGUUAAUUGAGUGUGGUCGUGUAAUCGGAACGAGACAAGUCCUACAGGAUUGGAUGAGACCGUUCAUCUGAGGAGAGUGCACAUACGUGAUGGAGACAGUCGUUAGACCCAUUCACACAUGCGUCUUGUAGUACACAAUUUGUGUGACCAACUAGUUGUACUGUGUGAACUGGACGUUCUUUCAUGGAAUAUGCUUGUUUAUGAUCCAGACUUUGACCACAUGGACUUAAAUCAAUGCUACUUCCACAGAAAACUGCUGGUUGUGUAUAAGAUUUUAAUUCAAGUAUGUAGUCGUUCGCUUGUCUAAUACAGUACUCACUGACAAAAUAACUGGACACAAUAAAGAACAUGUACACUCUUAAAAACUGAAAUUGUUAAUGAACCAAAAUCCAAAAACAAAACGAAUUAAAUUAAAGAAGUGGGCCACCUGAGUAGUUAAAGGGUUAUCUCCCUUUUCCUAUCUGCCAGCUUUGGGUUAUAUUUAUUCCUGAAAGUUGUUAUCUCAUGGGAGAUGUCUUUAUUUUUUUAACAUUUAAAAACAUUGCACUAUCGGUGGGUCCGUACACCACGCAAUAAUGAGUUGUCGUAUACAGAGCGCCGUGUAGUCGGAGUAUCACGUAAGGUAUGCACUGGAUCUAGCUAUAACAAAUGAUGACAUUGCAAGUCUAGCUGUUGUCGUGAAAGUAAGGAUACUGUAAGGUUAACGUCAGAACUGGUGUCCGCAACAUACUACACAAAUGUUGAUAGGGACACUGAGCUAUUCAUACUGUGACAAAACUCCGAGGGUGGAUAUGUCACACACGGUGGAAUGGAAAGGAGUGAAAUUGUUUCCUAAGGGACAGUACAGAAUUGUCCUUUGCACAUUUGUAGUCAAGGUGUAGAUGGUGUAACUGGUGAUAGACAGGCUGAGACGUGUGAUGAUGUUGAACUACGAGACUAUUGUACGUAAUAGAAGAACUUAUAGGAUAAAAGUGUUUGCGAUUAUUCUGCUGUGACUGCCAGUUGGCCUUUGUUGCCACCCAAGACUGUUCAGGUAUAUUGCAAGACUGUGCGGGCGGAGGAGGCACAUAACGAGUCCUUGGUGGAAUCGACCCUAGCGUGAGUCACUUCCUAGUUGACACCUCAACGUGUCACCCCCUGAGUGUGAACUGAACAAAGUGCUUGACCCGCCGUCGGAGUGUUGUGUGAUUGGUGUGAUGACAUGAAGGAAAUAGUUUUAGCAGGUCGUAGACAUUGGCAGUAUAUAUGUCAGGAAUGCCGGCAUGUAUCCGUGGUACCGGUUGUUCAGUUUUCAAUAUAUGUAACAAUUAUGAAGAUGAAUAAUGAAAUGUACUAGGGCUGAGACGGGUAACCCGGAUACCCGGGACGGGUGGGUAAUGAGUUGGACCCGG
rnacentral:misc_RNA from 1 species